rnacentral:rRNA from 1 species
CCCCGAGUGGUCGGGACGAUUAUUGGGCCUAAAGCAUCCGUAGCCGGUCAUGCAAGUCCUCCGUUAAAUCCACCUGCUUAACAGACGGGCUGCGGAGGAUACUACAAGGCUAGGAGGCGGAAGAGGCAAGCGGUACUCAGUGGGUAGGGGUAAAAUCCUCUGAUCCAUUGAAGACCACCAGUGGCGAAGGCGGCUUGCCAAUACGCGCUCGACGGUGAGGGAUGAAAGCUGGGGGAGCAAACCGG